rnacentral:rRNA from 1 species
AGAGUUUGAUCAUGGCUCAGGAUGAACGCUGGCGGUAUGCCUAACACAUGCAAGUCGAACGGGUAUCUUCGGAUAUUAGUGGCGGACGGGUGAGUAACGCGUGAGAAUCUGCCUUCAGGAUGGGGACAACAGUUGGAAACGACUGCUAAUACCCGAUAUGACGAAAGUUGAAAGAUUUAUCGCCUGGAGAUGAGCUCGCGUCAGAUUAGCUAGAUGGUGUGGUAAAGGCGCACCAUGGCGACGAUCUGUAGCUGGUCUGAGAGGAUGAGCAGCCACACUGGGACUGAGACACGGCCCAGACUCCUACGGGAGGCAGCAGUGGGGAAUUUUCCGCAAUGGGCGCAAGCCUGACGGAGCAAUACCGCGUGAGGGAGGAAGGCUCUUGGGUCGUAAACCUCUUUUCUCAGGGAAGAACAAAAUGACGGUACCUGAGAAUCAGCUCGAUCCGCUU